AGUGGCAGACGGGUGAGUAAUGUAUAGGAAUCUACCUAGUAGUACGGAAUAAUUGUUGGAAACGGCAACUAAUACCGUAUACGCCCUACGGGGGAAAAAUUUAUUGCUAUUAGAUGAGCCUAUAUUAGAUUAGUUAGUUGGUGAGGUAAAGGCUUACCAAGACAAUGAUCUAUAGCUGAUCUGAGAGGAUGAUCAGCCACACUGGAACUGAGAUACGGUCCAGACUCCUACGGGAGGCAGCAGUGGGGAAUAUUGGACAAUGGGCGAAAGCCUGAUCCAGCCAUGCCGCAUGAGUGAAGAAGGCCUUCGGGUUGUAAAGCUCUUUUAGUGAGGAAGAUAAUGACGGUACUCACAGAAGAAGUCCUGGCUAACUCCGUGCCAGCAGCCGCGGUAAUACGGAGAGGGCUAGCGUUAUUCGGAAUCAUUGGGCGUAAAGGGCGCGUAGGCGGGUUAGUAAGUUAAAAGUGAAAUCCCAAGGCUCAACCUUGGAACUGCUUUUAAAACUGCUAGUCUAGAGAUUGAAAGAGGAUAGAGGAAUUCCUAGUGUAGAGAUGAAAUUCGUAAAUAUUAGGAGGAACACCAGUGGCGAAGGCGUCUAUCUGGUUCAAAUCUGACGCUGAGGCGCGAANGCGUGGGGAGCAAACAGGAUUAGAUACCCUGGUAGUCCACGCUGUAAACGAUGAAUGUUAAAUAUGGGAAGUUUACUUUCUGUAUUAUAGCUNACGCGUUAAACAUUCCGCCUGGGGNCUACNGUCGCNAGAUUAAAACUCAAAGGNAUUGAC
rnacentral:rRNA from 2 species